rnacentral:rRNA from 1 species
GACGAACGCUGGCGGCGUGCUUAAUACAUGCAAGUCGAACGGAAAGGCCCUGCUUUUGUGGGGUGCUCGAGUGGCGAACGGGUGAGUAACACGUGAGUAACCUGCCCUUGACUUUGGGAUAAAUUCAGGAAACUGGGGCUAAUACCGGAUAGGAGCUCCUGCUGCAUGGUGGGGGUUGGAAAGUUUCGGCGGUUGGGGAUGGACUCGAGGCUUAUCAGCUUGUUGGUGGGGUAGUGGCUUACCAAGUCUUUGACGGGUAGCCGGCCUGAGCGGGUGACCGGCCACAUUGGGACUGAGGUACGGCCCAGACUCCUACGGGAGGCAGCAGUGGGGAAUAUUGCACAAUGGGCGGAAGCCUGAUGCAGCAACGCCGCGUGCGUGAUGACGGCCUUCGGGUUGUAAACCGCUUUCGCCUGUGACGAAGCGUGAGUGACGGUAAUGGGUAAAGAAGCACCGGCUAACUACGUG